rnacentral:rRNA from 1 species
GAUGAACGCUGGCUACAGGCUUAACACAUGCCAGUCGAGGGGAAACGGCAUUGAGUGCUUGCACUGAAUGGACGUCGACCGGCGCACGGGUGAGUAACGCGUAUCCAACCUUCCCGUUACUGCGGGAUAACCUGCCGAAAGGCAGACUAAUACCGCAUGUUCUUCGAUGACGGCAUCAGAUUCGAAGCAAAGAUCCGUCGGUAACGGAGGGGGAUGCGUCUGAUUAGCUAGUUGGCGGGGCGACGGCCCACCAAGGCGACAAUCAGUAGGGGUUCUGAGAGGAAGGUCCCCCACAUUGGAACUGAGACACGGUCCAAACUCCUACGGGAGGCAGCAGUGAGGAAUAUUGGUCAAUGGGCGGAAGCCUGAACCAGCCAAGUAGCGUGCAGGAUGACGGCCCUACGGGUUGUAAACUGCUUUUAUGCGGGGAUAAAGUGAGGGACGCGUCCCUUUUUGCAGGUACCGCAUGAAUAAGGACCGGCUAAUUCCGUG